rnacentral:lncRNA from 1 species
GUUUUCAUGAUCAAGCUUUCAGAAAAAUAGAUGUGAACAAUUCACAUUCUAGGACUAGGACACCUCAGUUGCCAUUUUAGUGGCUUCUGCAUUUCCAGCCCUGAAGUAAUAUAUGCCAUCUGCCCUGCAAAAAUACACUACUGAAGUUUAAAUUUGAUUUUUAUAUUGCCUGGGACCCAGCCUUAAUAUAUAAGGAUUUUUCAUAUUCUUGUUAUAUCCAUGAAUUCAGUUUAAAAAAAAAUUGAAUUCGAUCAGCCUAGAAAGGAAACAUAGUAGAAUUCUCACUUCAGUUGAUGUUUCACUUUUUUGCUGCUUCAAUUAAAAUUUUUUUCCCUCAGAGUUCCCAUUGUGGCUCAGUGGGUUAUGAACACAACUAGUAUCCAUGAGGAUGCGGGUUCAAUCCCUGGUCUUGCUCAGUGGGUUAAGGAUUCAGUAUUGCCAUGGGCUGUGGUGUAGGUCACAGAUGCAGCUCAGAUAUGGCAUUGCUGUGGCUAUGGCUGUCAGCUGCAGCUCUGAUUCAACCCCUAGGCUGGGAACUUCCAUAUGCCUCAGGUGCAGCCAUAAAAAGCAAAAAAAAUUUCCCUGCCAUGAAAAAAUGUUUAUUCGCUCUGAUUUAAAAUAAAAGCAGAUUUCAUUAUUUUAAGUAAAUUCUUUUUGAAAUGACUAACAGAUGGCAUCAGGUAAUGUAGACAUGUUUUAACAGAAAUAUUAAGCUCAUAAAGAAUAUUUUAUUUAUUUAUUUAUUCAUUUAUUUUUCUGUUUUGGCCACACCAGCAGCAUAUGGAAGUUCCCACGCCAAGGAUCAAACCCGAGCCUAAGCUGUGACCUAUGUCACAGCUGUGGCAACACUGGGUCCUUCAAUCUGGCAACUCCAUAGAGAAAAGCUGGAUAUUUAACCCACUGCACCACAGUGGGAAGUCCUCAUAAAGAAUAUUUUAAAGUACACAUAGUCCUUUAUUAGGAAAAAUCUGGUUUUUGGGGGCUCAUUAUGUAAGUUUACUUCCUAUAUUGAUCAAUAAUUGGAUCGGGGAGUUUCUGUCAUGGCUCAGUAGUUAACAAAUCCUACUAGGAACCAUGAGAUUCGAUCCCUGGCCUUGCUUAGUGAGUUAAGGAUCUGGUUGCCGUGAGCUAUGGUGUAGGUCGCAGACAUGGCUUGGAUCCCGAGUUGCUCUUGCCCCUAGCCUGGGAACCUCCAUAUGCUGUGGGUGAGACCCUACACACACACACACACACACACACAAAUUGGAUUGGUUCUUAAAAUUUUAAAUGUUUAGACUGUUUUUCUAGUUUAGACUGUUUAUGUCUUCUUGGCUAGAAACUGUGUCUCAGGCAUUUGUAUUUAUUUGGUAUUAGGCAAAGUACCUCACUCAAUAGGUUUCUGAUAACUGCAGACUGAAUGGUGAAAUGGGUGCUGCUUGAUCACUCAUCCUCCCCUGUUUUUAGCUACAGCCCCCAUCCUCUUCCUGAUCUCUAGGAAUCCUAGGUUCUUCCUCUAUUGUCCCUCAUGUGUUCUAGCACCUACCACAACCCAUUCAGGGCUGGCUCAAACUUGCCUCAGAGACUUGAAACUCCCCAAGGGAGACCCUGGUCCUGGCUCUCUGUCCUGGGUCUGAAUCAUCAACUUCCCACCCCACCUCCCCACCCUGGGGAUGUGAUCAGUGCUGAGCUGGUUGGAGCAGCAGCAGCAUCUGAACUGAUCUGAGAAGCUAGGUUCCUUGAACAUCUUUUCUUUUAGUUCUGAAGCUUGUAAAGCUGCUCACUGGAGACCUUGCAUCCUGUGUUAACCAAGGACCACCCCUCCACAUACUGAAAAACAUGCUUCAUUCAAGGGCAACUCAUUACUCAAAAGCAAGUUCUUCACACACUGACAAGGUUAUGAUGGAUCUUGUGUUACAUAAAAAAGUGUCUAUGAGCUCCAGGAAGAACACAUCUGCUUCCAUCUCAGCUCAAAGGGAUUUUACCAUUCAGAUGCUCCUUGUGUUUGGCAAACCAACUCUCAUUCUCAUCACAUAAAAUUAACUUUAAAAGCCUACUUACUUGUGGGAUGGAAAUCCUGUGAAAUCAGAUUGGUAUGAUCAUUAUACAACUACAGAUGUGAUAAAUUCAUUUGAGUAAUUAAAAAAUGAAAAAAAAACCCAUUAAAAAAAAAAAGCCUACUUACCUGAGGAACGUCUUCCAGUUAAAAGUGAGAAUAUACUCAAUACGAUCAUUUAACAUCAAGUGGAGUCACUCAUAAUUUUUCCCAUGUAAUUGUUUUAAAAUUGGACUCAUCUAUUUUUAAAAGUUAAAUAAAUGCAUACUUCUUGACAAAUCAAUAGCUAUUUAUAUUUUCCAAGCUUUCAACCUCUCCUUCUUCGUUAGCCUUUUCACUCCCAUCCAAAAUAGCCCUCCGCUCAUUCUUUGUCCCUCUUUAGUCAAGCUUCUUGUUCACCCAACUCCAUCCUGCCACACUCCCCACCUCCUGCAUUCUGACCUACCUCCCAUUAAAACCUUUUCCUAGAAAGCCAACAAUGGUCUCCCACAUACUAGCCCUUGGGUAAUUUUCAAUAUCCUUUUUUUUUUUUUUUGAAGCAUUUCAAGCUUCUAUUUUAGUUCCUCUUCUCUCCAUAGGCUACAUUUCCUUGUGUAUUUUUGUACCCACAACAUCUGUAUUAGAGUUCUCUGGAGACAUGAAACCAAUAAGGUAGAUAGAUAGAUGAUAGAUAGAUAGAUGGAUAGAUAGAUAGAUAGAUAGAUAGAUAGAUAGAUAGAUAGAUAGGCAGGCAGGCAGGCAGGCAGGCAGACAGAUAUGAGAUGACAUUAUAGGAAUUGACUCACAUGGUUAAGGAAGCUGAGAUGUCCUGUGAACUGCCAUAUGCAAGCAGCAGAGCAGGCAAGAUGGUGUGUAAUUCAAUCUGAAUCUGAAGAACUCAAAACUUGGAGAGGGGGUGUGGAGGGUGGAAAGGGUGUAACUUCUGGUCUGAGUCCAAAAGCGCCAUAACUAGGAGCACCAGUGUCCAAUAGGAGGAGGACAUGGAUGUCUCCAUUCAAUCAGAGAAAGCAAAUUUAUGCUUCUUCUGCCCUUUUAUUCUCUGUAGACUCUCAAAGACUGGGUGAUGCCCAUUCACUUUGGUGAAAGCAAUCCUCUUAGACCUGUUUACUCAGAGUAUGGAUUCGAAUGCUCAUCUCUUCCUGAGACACCCUCACAGACACACCCAGAAAUGUUUUCCCGGUGAAAUGGGAUCCCUCAGCCCAGUUAACCUGAUACAAAAAUAGUGAUCACAUCAAAUAUCACCCGAAUAUACAUGAUUCUCAGAUUUAUGGCUUUGGUCCAGAUCUCUUUUUUGAGUCUCAGAAUCUCAUUUCUAUUUGACUAUUAGACAUCUUUGCUUAAAAUUGCCUAGCAGUGGUGUCCCAAACAAAAUUCGUCAUCUUCUACAAUGAUCCUACCUUGCCCCCAUGAUGCCUCUCCUGAAUUUUCCCUAUAAAUGAUACUUUCUUAAGUUAGCUGCCCAAGCCAGAGAUCAGGGUAUCAUCUCAGAUUAUUGUUUCUCUUUAAAGUCCACUUCUCGUCAAUCCCUAUGUCCUGUUGAUCCUGCCUCUUAAAUUAUUUGCAUCUCAGGCCCCAUCUCUGUUAUUACAGUCACCUAUGUAAUUUGUCCUUUUGUCAUUCCAGGUCACUUUCCCGAUUGUCCCACUUACAGCCUUACCUCAUCAGCCUUCACAAAGCUGCUGAAGUGACAUUCCCAGUGUGAAAAUAUGGUCCCUGCUUCUCUCUACAGCUCAAAAUUCUGCUGAGUCUUCUGGUCGCUUUCAGAUAAAAUCUAGAGCAUUUUGCUUGACAGUUUUCCAUGACUAGGACCCUGUCCAGCCCUGACUCCUACCUGUCUUGCAUCUUCAGCCCUUCUCCCCACUUAACGCUUUACAUUCUGGGAGCAUUGAGGUAUUUAUAGUUUCUGAUAACAUUUGAGGCAUGCUGUUUCUUGCCUGGCAUGCCUUCCACAUUUGUUUGCCCAUUUUUCAAGGCUGAUUUAAACAUGGCCUAUGCAUAGCUUAUCUUUUAUUCCCUUGGAAUCUCAUGAAUCCAAUGUACUUAGACCUGAUCCCAUUAUAACUGGAAGGAUCCUUUCUGUUUUUCUCUGUCUCUCUAUUAUAUUGUAAUCUUCCUGGAGGCAAGGUUAUGUCUUUCCAUCUAUGUAUUUGCAUAAGCAUCUAACACAUAGUAGGAACUCAAACAUAUCUGUUAAAUCAUUGAAUAAUUGAAUGAAUAAAUGAAUGAAAUUACUGAAACAGCCAAGGACUUUGAAAUUAUGUAAUGCCAAAUUUUCCCCAUUUCAACUUUUUAUCUUGACUCUGUGCAGCUACAUCAUUAAUUAAAUUCUGGGUGCAUGACAAGCCCUAUAGAGCAUGAUCAUAUUUCUAAGAUAAAAAUAAAAUAUUUGCAUGUAAAUGAAAUAAUAUACAGCUUCAGAGAAAUGUUAUCAUUCAGUGCUCCAAAUAAACUCCAUUACCUGUAGGGAAAUAAAUGAAAAUGAAUCCAUUGCAGUAAUGGGUUUUUAGGCCAAUUUUCCAAGCAAGAGCUCAUUUCUUGCUGAAAGUAAAUAUGCAUCUCGAGUUUAUGAAAUCAGCUAUUGCUUAUGUGUACACAUGCACUGAGGAUGAAUUCACAUCUUGUUCAGGAUCCAUGAGGUUUAAAACGAGCCCUGAGUGUGAGCACUGCAUCUGUAGUUUCCACAAAUUCUGUUCGUUCACAUUAACAAGCAUGUCCUGAAGUUUCUAGAUAAUUUGAGUUAUGAAGGCACCUCACAUUUGAAGCAUUUGUUCUUGUCUCUAAAGAGAAAGCUACUUCUUAUCUUUAGAAAUUGAAGU